rnacentral:rRNA from 1 species
AGUGAACGCUGGCGGUAGGCCUAACACAUGCAAGUCGAACGGCAGCACAGUAAGAGCUUGCUCUUACGGGUGGCGAGUGGCGGACGGGUGAGGAAUACAUCGGAAUCUACUUUUUCGUGGGGGAUAGCGUAGGGAAACUUACGCUAAUACCGCAUACGACCUACGGGUGAAAGCAGGGGAUCUUCGGACCUUGCGCGAUUGAAUGAGCCGAUGUCGGAUUAGCUAGUUGGCGGGGUAAAGGCCCACCAAGGCGACGAUCCGUAGCUGGUCUGAGAGGAUGAUGCAGCCACACUGGACCUGGGACACGUUCCAGCCCCCUAGGGAGGGCGCAGGGGGGAAAUAUUGACAAAGGGGCGAAAGCCGAACCCGGCCAACCCGCGUGGUUAAAGAAGCCCUUCGGGUUGUAAGGCCCUUUUGUGGGGAAAAAAAGGCGCAGGUUUAUUCCCCGCCGGUUCGACCGUAACCAAAGAAUAAGCACCGGCUAACUUCGUG